rnacentral:rRNA from 1 species
AUUGAACGCUGGCGGCAGGCUUAACACAUGCAAGUCGAGCGGAGAUGAGGUGCUUGCACCUUAUCUUAGCGGCGGACGGGUGAGUAAUGCUUAGGAAUCUGCCUAUUAGUGGGGGACAACAUUCCGAAAGGAAUGCUAAUACCGCAUACGCCCUACGGGGGAAAGCAGGGGAUCUUCGGACCUUGCGCUAAUAGAUGAGCCUAAGUCGGAUUAGCUAGUUGGUUGGGUAAAGGCCUACCAAGGCGACGAUCUGUAGCGGGUCUGAGAGGAUGAUCCGCCACACUGGGACUGAGACACGGCCCAGACUCCUACGGGAGGCAGCAGUGGGGAAUAUUGGACAAUGGGCGGAAGCCUGAUCCAGCCAUGCCGCGUGUGUGAAGAAGGCCUUUUGGUUGUAAAGCACUUUAAGCGAGGAGGAGGCUACCUGGAUUAAUACUCUAGGAUAGUGGACGUUACUCGCAGAAUAAGCACCGGCUAACUCUGUGCCAGCCGCCGCAGUAAAAC